rnacentral:piRNA from 1 species
UGAAUCUGGAGGUGACCCAAGCAUUGAAUUC